GUCACUGUAGUGUAGUGGUUUGAACACUGGAGUACAACUCUGGAGACCUGGGUUCGAAUCCCUGCUCAGCCA